rnacentral:rRNA from 1 species
UACGUAGGGUGCAAGCGUUAAUCGGAAUUACUGGGCGUGAAGCGUGCGCAGGCGGUUAUGUAAGACAGAUGUGAAAUGCCCGGGCUUAACCUGGGAACUGCAUUUGUGACUGCAUGGCUAGAGUUUGGCAGAGGGGGGGUAGAAUUCCACGUGUAGCAGUGAAAUGCGUAGAUAUCAGGAGGAACAUCGAUGGCGAAGGCAGCCCCUUGGACCUGUACUGACGCUCAUGCACGAAAGCGUGGGGAGCAAACAGG